rnacentral:rRNA from 1 species
GUUGUAUGGUCAAGUAAUGAAGUGCACAUGGUGGAUGCCUUGGCAGUCAGAGGCGAUGAAAGACGUGAUAGCCUGCGAUAAGCGUCGGUGAGGUGGCAAUAUCCUGUGACCCGGCGAUUUCUGAAUGGGGAAACCCAGCCAACAUAAGUUGGCUAUCCUAACCUUUGGUUAGGAGGCAAACCGGGAGAAGUGAAACAUCUCAGUACCCCGAGGAAAAGACAUCAAUAGAGAUUCCCCAAGUAGCGGCGAGCGAACGGGGAGGAGCCGAUCAAACUUGUAGUAGCAAAAUGGCGUGGGAAAGCCAACCAUAGUAGGUGAUAGUCCUGUAUGCGAAACUGCAAAUGCGACAUAUUAAGUAGGGCGAGACACGUGAAAUCUUGUCUGAAGAUGGGGGGACCAUCCUCCAAGGCUAAAUACUCCUGACUGACCGAUAGUGAACCAGUACCGUGAGGGAAAGGCGAAAAGAACCCCUGUUAGGGGAGUGAAAUAGAACCUGAAACCGUGUGCAUACAAGCAGUCGGAGCCCNNNNNNNNNNNNNNNNNNNNNNNNNNNNNNNNNNNNNNNNNNNNNNNNNNNNNNNNNNNNNNNNNNNNNNNNNNNNNNNNNNNNNNNNNNNGGGUGACGGCGUACCUUUUGUAUAAUGGGUCAGCGACUUAUAUUCUGUAGCAAGGUUAACCGUUUAGGGGAGCCGUAGGGAAACCGAGUCUUAAUAGGGCGAUUAAGUUGCAGGGUAUAGACCCGAAACCGAGUGAUCUAUCCAUGAGCAGGUUGAAAGUGCCGUAACAGGCACCGGAGGACCGAACCCACUGUCGUUGAAAAGCCAGGGGAUGACUUGUGGAUAGGGGUGAAAGGCUAAUCAAACUCGGUGAUAGCUGGUUCUCCCCGAAAGCUAUUUAGGUAGCGCCUCGGACGAAUACCAUUGGGGGUAGAGCACUGUUUCGGCUAGGGGGUCAUCCCGACUUACCAAACCGAUGCAAACUCCGAAUACCGAUGAGUGAUAUCCGGGAGACAGACGGCGGGUGCUAACGUCCGUCGUCAAGAGGGAAACAACCCAGACCGCCAGCUAAGGCCCCAAAUUCCUAGUUAAGUGGGAAACGAUGUGGGAAGGCACAGACAGCUAGGAGGUUGGCUUAGAAGCAGCCACCCUUUAAAGAAAGCGUAAUAGCUCACUAGUCGAGUCGGCCUGCGCGGAAGAUGUAACGGGGCUCAAACUAGGAGCCGAAGCUGCGGAUUUAAUUGUUUCAAUUAAGUGGUAGGGGAGCGUUGUGUAAGCCUGUGAAGGUGUGUUGUAAAGCAUGCUGGAGGUAUCACAAGAGCGAAUGCUGACGUGAGUAACGACAAAACGGGUGAAAAGCCCGUUCGCCGGAAGACCAAGGGUUCCAGUCCAACGUUAAUCGGGGCUGGGUGAGUCGACCCCUAAGGCGAGGCCGAAAGGCGUAGUCGAUGGGAAAUCGGUUAAUAUUCCGAUACUUGUUUAUGAUGCGAUGGAGGGACGGAGAAGGUUAUGUCAGCCUGGCGUUGGUUGUCCAGGUGAAAGGAUGUAGGUAGGUUUAGUAGGCAAAUCCGCUAGACUAUUACUGAGAUCUGAUAGCAAGCCAGUUUACUGGCAAAGUGGCAAAUACCCUGCUUCCAGGAAAAGCUUCUAAGCGAUAGUCAUAAACAAAUCGUACCCGAAACCGACACAGGUGGUCAGGUAGAGAAUACCAAGGCGCUUGAGAGAACUCUGCUGAAGGAACUAGGCAAAAUGGUACCGUAACUUCGGGAGAAGGUACGCUGCCGAUGGUGAUAAGACUUGCUCUUUGAGCUGUUGGCAGUCGCAGAUACCAGGCUGCUGCAACUGUUUAUUAAAAACACAGCACUCUGCAAACACGAAAGUGGACGUAUAGGGUGUGAUGCCUGCCCGGUGCUGGAAGGUUAAUUGAUGGGGUUAGCGUAUGCGAAGCUCUUGAUCGAAGCCCCAGUAAACGGCGGCCGUAACUAUAACGGUCCUAAGGUAGCGAAAUUCCUUGUCGGGUAAGUUCCGACCUGCACGAAUGGCAUAAUGAUGGCAGCGCUGUCUCCAGCAGAGACUCAGUGAAAUCGAAAUCGCAGUGAAGAUGCUGUGUACCCGCGGCUAGACGGAAAGACCCCGUGAACCUUUACUACAGCUUUACAUUGAACUUUGACCUAACUUGUGUAGGAUAGGUGGGAGGCUUUGAAGUGGCGACGCCAGUUGCCAUGGAGCCAUCCUUGAAAUACCACCCUGGUUAUGUUGGGGUUCUAACUUAGAUGUAACAACAUCAAGGACAAUGUAUGGUGGGUAGUUUGACUGGGGCGGUCUCCUCCUAAAGAGUAACGGAGGAGUACGAAGGUGCGCUCAGAACGGUCGGAAAUCGUUCAAAGAGUAUAAAGGCAAAAGCGCGCUUAACUGCGAGACCCACAAGUCGAGCAGGUACGAAAGUAGGUCUUAGUGAUCCGGUGGUUCUGUAUGGAAGGGCCAUCGCUCAACGGAUAAAAGGUACUCUGGGGAUAACAGGCUGAUACCGCCCAAGAGUUCAUAUCGACGGCGGUGUUUGGCACCUCGAUGUCGGCUCAUCUCAUCCUGGGGCUGAAGCAGGUCCCAAGGGUAUGGCUGUUCGCCAUUUAAAGAGGUACGCGAGCUGGGUUUAGAACGUCGUGAGACAGUUCGGUCCCUAUCUACCGUGGGCGUUGGAAAUUUGAGAGGAUCUGCUCCUAGUACGAGAGGACCAGAGUGGACGAACCUCUGGUGUUCCGGUUGUUUCGCCAGAAGCACUGCCGGGUAGCUAUGUUCGGAUGGGAUAACCGCUGAAAGCAUCUAAGCGGGAAGCCCACCUCAAGAUUAGAUUUCCCUAAAGAGCCGUUGUAGACUACGACGUUGAUAGGUUGGGUGUGGAAGCAUGGCGACAUGUGUAGCUAACCAAUACUAAUUGCUCGUUUGGCUUGACCAUACAACACCCAAG